UUGUACAGUCUUUCAAUUACUCAAUUGAGUUUUCUCUAUUUAUCUAAUGUCAUACUGUUUGUGUUGAAUAGAGUACCAGAAGAUUAUUCUCACUGUGAGUUUCUGAUCCACCUCCCAGGAUAUUGCCCAAGCGGGAUUGUAGUUUCCAGUAUGGUAGCUUAGUUGAUUUGGUAGAUGGACAUACAUCAGUACUUUAUCAUAGGCUUCGGCUACUGGUUACCAUUGUAUACAUGAAGAUUUGGUCUAAGCUUCAAAAAGUACGUACAUCUUGCAAACCCUCAUUGAAGGCUCAUUGAACUUCUAGAAAGACUUGAAUGUAUUUCUGUCUAUUUUGAAAUUGUUAUCAAGGAUGGAUAUUAACAUCUCUAUAUUUUAGAUUUGCGAAUGUAGUAUUUCAAGAUGGAGAUAUUGAUAACUGGUUUUAGAGUACAUUUCACUUUCUGGUGUUGGACUA